rnacentral:rRNA from 1 species
UACGAAGGGGGCUAGCGUUGCUCGGAAUUACUGGGCGUAAAGGGCGCGUAGGCGGCACUGUUAGUCAGGCGUGAAAGUCCUGGGCUCAACCUGGGAACUGCGCUUGAUACGGCAGAGCUAGAGGAUGGAAGAGGGUCGCGGAAUUCCCAGUGUAGAGGUGAAAUUCGUAGAUAGUUAGGGAAGAACACCGGUGGCGAAGGCGGCGACCUGGUCCAUUACUGACGCUGAGGCGCGACAGCGUGGGGGAGCAAACAGG